rnacentral:rRNA from 1 species
AUGUCCGGAGCGGGAGGCAAAUGGCUGGCCUCCACCGUUACGAAGGAGCACAUCGCAAAACUGCGCAGCGCCGGAUACCUUUCCGGCGACAUCGCGCACCGGCUGCCCGACAAGGGGCAGCUCAUCCCUACCCCUAGGCCCCAUGAGAGGGUCGUAUUCCUUCCCCACUUCCUCCAUGGAUUGGGCUUCCCAUUGCAUCCCUUUGUCCGGGGGCUCAUGUACUAUUACGGCCUGGAUUUCCACGAUCUGGCGCCAAACUUCAUCCUCAGCAUCUCGGCGUUUAUCGUCGUGUGCGAGGCCUUCCUCUGCAUCCAGCCCCACUUUGGCUUGUGGCUCAAGACCUUCAAUGUCAAGCCGAAGGUGGUGAAGGGCACUCAAGCAGAGUGCGGAGGCGCCAUGUUGGGCAAGAUGCCCAACGUCAUCUGGCUCGAAGGGGCCUUCAUGGAGUCCGUCAAGGGGUGGCAAUCGGGGUGGUUCUAUAUCACCGAGCCGCGCGACCCUACGUGGGCGGCGGCCCCCGAGUUCAGAUCUGGUAUCCCUACGCAGCUCACCUCCUGGAAAGAGAAGGGCUUGCUAUGGGGUGAUUCGGAGGAGCUGACGGGACUCCAAGCCUGUAUCCAGAAGCUGGUGAGCAAGAAGCUCAGGCUUGCCAAUGUGGUCCAAGUCAUGCUCGUCCGCCGGAUUCUCCCGUGCCAAGAACGGGCAUUUAAAUUGUGGGAGUUCAAUCCAACACAGCACCAGGCAUUGAGCGGGCUCUUCGACACAACGUAUGAAGGCGCCUGGAGGGUGCUGUUCAAGGGCGCCGAAGCUCCCGCAUCCGCCACCGAAGAUCGCGGAUUUUGCUCGCAGCGUCCAGCUGACGAGGACUGGAUGAAGAAGGUCGAGCAGAUUGUCUGCCCGGCUCCCAUGCCAGAAAACCCAGUAGAUGCCCGUCUAGCGGGGCUGCUGGUUCAGGUACCGCACGUGGUGCCGGAGAAGAAGGCCAAGAAGGUGGCCACGGGUACUCGAAAGAGUUCCCGUUUUCAGGUGUCCGAUGGCUCAGAGGUGGACUCCUCCCCCGAAGACGACGAGGAGGAAGAGGACUCUCUCCUAGAGGAAGGAGAGAGGAAGAGGAAGGCUUCCCCAAUAGGGGAGGCUGAAGGGUCCAAGAGGGGAAGGACUAUUCCCCCGGACAGCUCCGCCAACGCCAACGUUGGCGACGAAGAGUGGCCCUCAAGGGCCAGGUCUCCGGCGAGAUCUCCGGCCGAUGAUGAUCUCCCCGCUUCAUCGAGCGGGUCGUUGGCUCCGUCGGAUGUAGAUUCCAUCCCGACUGCCUCCACCCCUCGCGACGCUGAGGAUGCCGAGGUGGGAUCCCGGGAAGGGACCCAUCAGGAGGAGGCUCCGGAGGCACCAGAGGGCAGCCUCCCAGACUUUGCGCCGGACUCCACGCCGGAACCAGCAGUGGUUCCGGAGUCCGGCAGGCGGCCCCUUCGUAAGAAGGGCAAGACCAUGACGCUGGCGGCCCCCGUCCAACCGGAGGCGCCGGACAAUUUGUUGGAGGCGCUCAAGGGCGCUUCCAUCAAGGAAGAAGACCGCACUAUUAUGAGUGUGGUGAUUCAGAAGGUUCAGCUCGCCAAGAGCGGGCUGACCGAAGCCUGCAGUAGCCUUCUAACAGGCUUUGAGGUAAGAAGUUUAAAAUAUGUAAUGUAA